GGCUCGUUAGUCUAGGGGUAUGAUUUCUGCUUCGGGUGCAAGAGGUCCCGCGUUCAAAUCCCGGACGAGCCC
rfam:Astyanax mexicanus Tnplaced_Scaffold3763, whole genome shotgun sequence.